rnacentral:ncRNA from 1 species
CCCUAUCCGUCGUGGGCGUAGGAAAUUUGAGAGGAGCUGUCCUUAGUACGAGAGGACCGGGAUGGACGCACCGCUGGUGUACCAGUUGUCUUGCCAAAGGCAUAGCUGGGUAGCUAUGUGCGGAAGGGAUAAGUGCUGAAAGCAUCUAAGCAUGAAGCCCCCCUCAAGAUGAGAUUUCCCUGUUACUUUGUAACGUAAGAUCCCUGAAAGAUGAUCAGGUUGAUAGGUCAGAGGUGGAAGCGCGGUGACGUGUGGAGCUGACUGAUACUAAUCGAUCGAGGACUUAACCUA